rnacentral:lncRNA from 1 species
GAAGAACUGGUCAGAUUAUCUCGUAUUUACAAAAAUGCUUUCCUACUUACCUAAGAGCUAAGAGAUUUGAGAAUUGAUUGAGGAAAUAUUCAUUAGACAUUUUUGAGACUUUUAAAAUAUAGAAGCUGAUGUAUGUUAAGACGUUUAAGAAGUUUAAUAUAAAUAGUGUGAAUAAUUCUCAGCUUCACUAUUGGUCAGGGAAAUACAAAUUAAAACCAGUCUUUUGGCUGAAAAGUCCAUAUGCUGAGUGAAAAAUAUGUUGUUUUUAAGACCUGGGUUGGAAAGUUCAUCGACUCUGCAGCAUAGUGAGAGAUUCCAUUCUUGGAACUUGGAAAAAAGGUCCAAGGGAUGUGGAAGUUAGGGGAUAGGUUUAUUGGACAAGAUGUUUAUGAAGUGUUCCUGGGUUCAUAAGAGAUAUGAGUCCUAGAAUGAUACACCCAGUGUUCUUCUGUUAUGGAAGUUCCACUUCCUACUGGUCAUGAAUCUACCGACCCAGCAGAAAAGAAGGCAUAAGACGAAACCAUUCAGCAUCUGCAUGCUUUCUAUUUCUUCCAUUUACUGGAUCUUCCUUGGAUUGUAACUUUAUCCAGUCAGUAUUCCCAAGAAAUACCGUAACAGGAGACCAAAGCAAGGUGAGUAUUGAUACUGAUUUGAUAUACUAGUGUUAGCAUCAGUGAAAUGACUAAGACAGCUUAGAGGAGGUAUCAGGACACAAGCCAGAGUAUAAAAGACAAAAAUUAAAUGAGUUUAAAAAUUCAGUGAAAUGAGUUAUGAAGAUAACCAUUAAGACCUGUGUUGUAGCUAAUUGAGCUUUUUUUUCACUAAAAGUGGCAAAAUAAUCUGUGAGCAUCUUACAAGUUAGGGUAUUUUUGAAACUUCCCCAUGUCAAUUGCCUCUUACAUUAAUAUUAUGCUGUUUCUCU